CAUGGUGGUCAUCGCGACGGGGCCCACCCCUUACCAUUCCGAACAGGGAAGUUAAGCCCGUCAGCGCCGAUGGUACUGCGAAAGUGGGAGAGUAGGUCACCGCCUUUC
rfam:Flavobacteriaceae bacterium MAR_2010_188 genome assembly, chromosome: I